rnacentral:tRNA from 1 species
GCCAAGGUGGCGGAGCGGUUACGCAAUUGCCUGCAGAAUAUAGGGGCCUCCGGCCCCAGUGCAGCCAGCAAUUCCACUCCGGUUCGAAUCCGGACCUUGGCU